rnacentral:Y_RNA from 1 species
GUGACGAAUGCUUUGGAAACUACAGUUCACACUUCCGUGUCGCGGGUUCGAAUCCCGCCGGGUCCGCCAUACUAUGGACCCGUAGCUCAGUCGGUAGAGCAGGAAUGUUUCCAAAAACCCUCGUCGUCGCGGA